AUUGCAUUCGUUAUGGAACUGGACUACCUCUGGGCGUGUGCCAGGUUCCCCAUCCAAAACCCAUGGCUAAAUAGGUUCAAAACAAAAGUGAAGUAGCCUAGGCUAGAUUAAGCACUUGUAGUAAAGAUUUGCUUGAUAAAAACGCUAUAUCUACCUUCCUAAUGAAAAUUCGUUUAAAAAAAACAUAUUUUAUGGAUGUUUUAUGCUGAGAAUUUGACCAAGCGGUACAGAUUGCGGUUCGAUUUAAGAUAGGCGCUCCUCGCUACCUUUGCCCGUUCACCAUAGAGCGGUGCACCGCGGCUCAGGUUAAUAGAACUCCCUCCGUCUGAAACCGCGUGAGAAAGUUGCCUUUGAGACAAGCUAACGUUAUAUUUUGUUGUGAUGGUAUAGUGGGGGUUGUUAUUAUCAAAACCUUUCUUGCACAACACCCCCAUUUACUCGAAUACAGGUUAUUCUUCGGAUAACGAAUAUUAAUUUAUACCGAGCAUUCACCACAAGCUAUUGCGGCAAGUCAAAUUGCAAUUAACUUCUGUGGAUUUGUCUCAGUAGCCUACGCUUCUCAUUACCGCGUUGUGGGUUUGGCUUGUUGACUAACUGGAGUUUCGGGCUAUUCGUAUAUUGCUGGGUGGACAGGAUUACACGGUCUACAUGAAUAGGAGGACUAUUAGGUUACUUUUUUUUGUCCUCACCUGUUCUUUUUCUCCCUUCUAUGGUUAAUACAUGAUCGUAUGCUGGAGUAGCCUACAGCGAGUGAAAAGGAGAUUCUUACAUACAUCAUUCACCGGAGCACCGCUGAUAGAGAGUUGACUGGAGAUCUAUGAGGACAAAUGGUCGGACGUGUUUGUGGCAUUUAACGGACAGUCUCGGAAGGAGCUAGGAUGAAUUUAUCGUAACCUGGAGCAUCCUCGCGCCUGUCCCUAUUUUGUUAGCAGACGGGUUUAUCAGGAACCGGGCAUCUGCCGAGGUAGAACGAUGUAUCCCCAGGGUCGACACCCGACACCCCACCAGGCCCCAGGCCAACCUUUCAAAUUCACCAUCCCAGAGUCACUGGACCGCAUCAAAGAGGAGUUCCAGUUUCUCCAAGCUCAGUACCACAGUUUGAAAUUGGAGUGUGAGAAGCUGGCCAGUGAGAAGACAGAGAUGCAGAGGCACUAUGUUAUGUACUAUGAAAUGUCUUACGGGCUGAACAUUGAAAUGCACAAACAGACUGAGAUUGCCAAGAGGCUCAAUACCAUCUGUGCACAAGUCAUCCCCUUCCUCUCACAGGAGCACCAACAGCAGGUGAUCCAGGCAGUGGAGAGGGCCAAGCAGGUCACCAUGGGCGAACUCAAUUCUGUCAUCGGGGUACGUGUCCUUCCCGGUCUACCACCCACACAUCAGCAUCUGUCCCACGCGCACGGCCCCCAUGUCCCCCUCACCCCCCACCCGGCUGGGCUCAACCCAGCCCACUUGGGGGGAGGGGCCAGCCUCCUCGCCCUGUCCAGUGCCCUGGGGGCGCCACCGCACCACCUGGUGGGCAAAGAGGACAAGAAACAUCCGGCGGAGGCCGAGCAGCUAAGAGAGCAAGAGCCCGGCACAAGUAAUACCCUGCUGGUUGCUGACAGUUUGAGGAACUCAGACAAGCGACGCAACGGACCUGAAUUCCCCAACGACACCAAGAAGAGGAAAGUAGAGGACAAGGACUCUAGUCAUUAUGAUAGUGAUGGAGAGAAGAGUGAAGACAAUCUGGUGGUGGAUGUCUCCAAUGAGGAUCCUGCCUCCCCUCAUGGUACGCCCCUGCCCUCCCCCAGAGAGAACGGAUUGGACAAGACACGCCUCCUGAAGAAGGACCCAUCCUGUAGCCCUGCCUCCACAGCCUCCUCUGCAAGCUCCUCCUCCCUCAAGUCCAAAGAGAUGGGAAUGCGUGACAAGCCGGGUACGCCUCAACCGAAGUCGAGCACUCCCACUCACCGAGGAGACUCCACACCCGGACCCAGUGCCACACCCACUCUCCGCCCCAGCCUAUCCAAGCCCCCCUCCAUGGAGCUACCUCACCCACCUACUGCUGGUCUGCGGACUCCGCUGGCCGUGUCAGGGCCGUACCCCGGGCCGUUUGGCAUGCUGCCUCAUGCCGCCAUGAAUGGGGAGCUGGCAAGUGCUGGCACAGGCUACGCCGGCCUCCACAACAUGUCCCCUCAGAUGAGCGCUGCGGCGGCUGCCGCUGUGGCUGCCUACGGACGCUCCCCUAUGGCCGGCUUUGACCCUCAUCCUCACAUGAGAGUCCCUGGAAUGACCCCAAGCUUAUCAGGCAUCCCUGGAGGCAAACCAGCCUACUCCUUCCAUGUUAGCGCCGAUGGACAGAUGCAGCCGGUACCGUUCCCUCCAGAUGCCCUGGUGGGCCCUGGCAUCCCGCGCCAUGCACGCCAGAUCAACACACUGAACCAUGGUGAGGUGGUCUGUGCUGUCACCAUCAGCAACCCCACGCGCCAUGUCUACACAGGCGGCAAGGGCUGCGUCAAGGUCUGGGACAUCAGUCAUCCUGGCAACAAGAGUCCUGUGUCCCAACUGGACUGCCUGAACCGAGACAACUAUAUCCGCUCGUGCCGGCUGCUCCCCGAUGGCCGGACGCUCAUCGUGGGGGGGCGAGGCCAGCACACUGUCAAUCUGGGACCUAGCCACGCCCACUCCACGCAUCAAGGCAGAGCUGACCUCCUCAGCCCCGGCCUGCUAUGCCCUGGCCAUCUCCCCUGACUCCAAGGUGUGCUUCUCCUGCUGCAGCGAUGGGAACAUCGCCGUCUGGGACCUGCACAACCAGACCCUGGUCAGACAGUUCCAGGGCCACACAGACGGAGCCAGCUGUAUUGACAUCUCCAACGAUGGGACCAAGCUGUGGACGGGGGGGCUGGACAACACCGUACGCUCCUGGGACCUAAGAGAGGGACGCCAGCUGCAGCAGCACGACUUCACCUCACAGAUCUUUUCUCUGGGGUACUGUCCGACGGGAGAGUGGCUGGCGGUGGGGAUGGAGAGUAGUAAUGUGGAGGUGCUCCACGUCACCAAGCCAGACAAGUACCAGCUCCACCUCCACGAGAGCUGUGUGCUUUCCCUUCAGUUUGCUUCCUGUGGAAAAUGGUUUGUGAGCACAGGGAAGGAUAACCUGCUGAAUGCGUGGAGGACACCGUACGGAGCCAGUAUAUUCCAGUCGAAGGAGUCUUCGUCCGUGCUAAGCUGUGACAUCUCAGUGGAUGAUAAGUACAUAGUUACAGGUUCUGGAGAUAAGAAGGCCACUGUCUAUGAAGUCAUCUACUAGACUGCACUGGUGAGCACUAGCAUCAGCAACUGACAACCAAAAGUAGCUUUCACUGUCCUAAAACCAACCCUGGGUCAGGGGAUACUGCAGAAAGUUCUACACCCUUUGACUUUUUCCACAUUUUGUGUUACAGCCUGAAUUUAGAUUUAUUUUUGGUCACCGGCCUACACAAAAUACCCCAUAAUGUCAAAUGGGUUUUGAGUCAAUAAAAGUAUUCAACCCCUUUGUUAUGGCAAGCCUAAAUAGGAGUAAAAAUGUGCUUAACAUGUCACACAAUAAGUUGCAUGGACUCUGUGUGCAUGGACUCUGUUUUAAAAUGAUUUAUGAAUGACUACCUCAUCUCUGCACCCCACACAGUGCAAUUAUCUAUAAGGUCCCUCAGUUGAGCAGUGAAUUUCAAACAAUGAUUAAACAACAAAACACCAGGGAGGUUUGGAUAAAAAUUGAAAAAGCAGACAUUGAAUAUCCCUUUUUAAAUAACUUCCCAUAGUGAAGUUAUUAGUUACACUUCGGGUGGUGUAUCAAUACACCCAGUCACUAAGAUACAGGCAUCCUUGCUAACUCAGUUGCCGGAGAGGAAGGAAACCGCUCAGGAAUUUCACCAUGAUGCAAAUGGUGACUUUAAAAUAGUUUAAUGGCUGUGUUAGGAGAAAUCUGAUGAUGGAUAGCAUUGUAGUUACUCCACAAUGCUAACCCAAUUGACAGCGUGAAAAGAAGGAAGCCUGUACAGAAUACAAAUAUUCCAAAACAUGCAUCCUGUUUGCAACAAGGCACUAAAGUAAUACUUCAGAAAAUGUGGCUAAGCAAUUAACAUUUUGUCCUGAAUACAAACUGUGAUGUUUGGGACAAAUCCAAUACAACACAUUACUGAGUACCACUCUCCAUAUUUUCAAGCAUAGUGAUCAAUCACAGAACAACAGCAAAGGACCUUGUGAAGAUGCUGGAGGAAACGGGUACAAAAGUAUCUAUUAGAGGUGGACCGAUUAUGAUUUUACAAUGCCGAUACCUAUUUAUUGGACGACCAAAAAAAGCUGAUUCUGAUUAAUGGGCAAAUUUUAUACAUGUAUUUGUAAAGAUGACAAUUACAACAAUAUUGAAUGAACAAUGAACACUUUUAUUUGAACUUAAUAUAAUACAUCAAUAAAAUAAAUUUAGUCAUAAAUAAAUAAAUAAUGAAACAUGUUAAAUUUGGUUUAA